GUAAUUUUGAAAUAUUUGCAAUAUAUUUGCAUUGGAAACUAAAAGUAGACAUGUAUUGUGGGACAAAAUUUUUUUCCAAAAGAGACAUGUAUUGUGGGACGGAGGGAGUAUCAAGCAACAUCCCACUUUACAGUAUAACACACUUGCACUUGCUUUGUUCACUUGUUCUUUAUUAUUACUGGUAUUUGUUUACGCUUCUUAUUACCAAAGUCAAUCUUUGGAUUUUAUUUCUC
rnacentral:lncRNA from 1 species